GGGGAGAGGGAUCAAACUGACGUGCGAAGCAGGGUAGCCAGGCCGGGCUCUAGAGUAGCCCCUUCCUCCUCGCCUCGUCAGCCCUGAGGCUACCCUCGUGGGGAAAGUGGGGGCUCAACGGUCUCGUCUUUUACGAAGCAGAUGGACUCCUGGACUCUAGGGCCUCGAACUGUUUGGGAGACUGAUGGGCAGGAGCCUUAUGCAGCCGGAGGGCCGGCGGUCAGUCAGUGGGCUUGGCCCGCGCUGGCGUCUGGCCCAGCUGUCGAAGCUCGGCUGGUCCAAGCUUGCUGCUGGCCCGGAGCUAACUGGGUCCCCUGAUGGCUGGGAUGAAGAGUGCAAUGCAUGUUUCAAAGAGGGCAUGCUUCCUUCACCUGGGUCCCAGGAUGGUGGAACAAAGCUGAAGAUGACUGUGAUUGACAAACAUGAAGAGAAAUAAACCUUACUGUAAGUAAUUUCAACUGGGGGGGUUAUUACCUUAGAAUGACUUAGGUUGAUCAGUGUAUUGCCCAAACUGAAUGAAGACAAACCAUGAGACUAGUAUUAAUUACGAGUAUUUGAGAACUGUAAAAGAUAGGCAGUUGACCUCUAGAGCAGUUGAAACUGAAUACCACUGAAAGGACAAUCAGAAUAUUCUCAUAUUCAGAAUAGGCAUUCUCUUUCAGAGACGAUGAAAACCAGAGUUCAAGUAAGAGAUGUUUGAUUGGUAUUUCAACAUGCCAUACAUUUUGGGACACUCUUAACUGUAGGAAAUCAUUGGUGGUUAAAUUAUGAGCUCCAUAUAAAUUAUGCUAUGUUGGUUUUAUGUUACUAAAUCUAAUAUUGGGUUAACAUUUGAAAUUUGUCAUAUUUUCUAAGCUCUGAAAAAGAAAAAUGAACCUGGAUUUUUGUCUCUAUGCUCAUCAAAUGGUAACAUCAUAUUGCUAAUUUGGGAAAUAAUUACUAAACUCUACUAAAAUCAUUGUUCAUGGAGCUAAAUCCAAAAUUCAGACAUUUGGGGAAAAAAAGAGUCCACAGCAAUGUAUUUUGAUGUUCUUGGGUAAAGAGGAAUCAGUAUUCAUCCUCAGUAUAGAUUGGAUUCCUUCAAACUAUCUUUACUUUUCAAGCAUCUAACAUUCACAGUUAGCAUGUGAGUCCCUCUAUCUAAUAAAAAGUCACAAGAGGCAGCUCUACACAAGAAAGAUUGAUUUGUGAUAUGCUGCUUCUCAUAAUGACACCACCAUGUGGUAUGUUCUGAGGUGGAGCUUUAUUCAUAUGCACCCCAGAUAGUAAAACAAACAGUGUAAUGUAUAAAAAGAAAAUCUCUUUAGAAACAACCUAAAUGUUUAUCAAUAGGAGAAUGGAUCAAAAUAACGUGAUAUUUCCACAUAAUGGGGUAAAAUAUAUUAUGUAAAAUUAAUGAUCCUAAAAGUAUCACAUAUUAAAGUGAAUGUUCAAAACCAAGUUAUAGAUGUAUACAUAUAUACACACACACACACACACAUAUAUAUAUAAUGAUACCAUGAUUAUAAAAUUGUAAAACAUGCAAAAUGAACAUUAUUUAUGAGUUUCAUAUAUGGUUUAAAACAUUUCAAAUGUGUAUAGGAAUGAUUAACAUCAAAUUUAGUGCAGUGGUUAUUAUCUUUGGUUAUAUGUAAUAGCGAAUGGGAUUGAAGAAAUGUACACAGAGCUUCAACUGUAUCUAUAAUGACUGAUUUUUUAAAAAAAUAACUUUAAAAUCUGAAGUGAAUAUGGUACCUGGUUACCUUGAUACACAGGUGUUUGCUAUAUUCUCUCUCUUUUUCUCUGUGUUUGAAAUAUUUCAUGGGGUCCUAUUGUACAGUACAGGGAACUGUGUCCAAUCUCUUGGGUUAGAAGAUGAUGGAAGAUAGUAUGAAAAAGAAAAAAAA
rnacentral:lncRNA from 1 species